UAAGUUGGUAGUGAAAGCGUGGGGCUCAACCUCAUAAACAUUAUCAAAACUACUUUGACUAGAGAAUGAGAGAGGUCGCUGGAAUUUCUUGUGUAGGAGUGAAAUCCGUAGAUAUAAGAAGGAACACCGAUGGCAUAGGCAGGCGACUGGCUCAUUUCUGACGCUCAGGCACGAAAGCGUGGGGAGCGACCGGGAUUAGAUACCCCGUUAGUCCACGCCGUAAACGAUGGAUGCUA
rnacentral:rRNA from 1 species